UACACUCCUGCGGGAGGCAGCAGUGGGGAAUAUUGGACAAUGGGCGCAAGCCUGAUCCAGCCAUGCCGCGUGAGUGAUGAAGGCCCUAGGGUUGUAAAGCUCUUUCACCGGAGAAGAUAAUGACGGUAUCCGGAGAAGAAGCCCCGGCUAACUUCGUGCCAGCAGCCGCGGUAAUACGAAGGGGGCUAGCGUUGUUCGGAAUUACUGGGCGUAAAGCGCACGUAGGCGGAUCGAUCAGUCAGGGGUGAAAUCCCAGGGCUCAACCCUGGAACUGCCUUUGAUACUGUCGAUCUGGAGUAUGGAAGAGGUGAGUGGAAUUCCGAGUGUAGAGGUGAAAUUCGUAGAUAUUCGGAGGAACACCAGUGGCGAAGGCGGCUCACUGGUCCAUUACUGACGCUGAGGUGCGAAAGCGUGGGGAGCAAACAGGAUUAGAUACCCCAGUAGUCC
rnacentral:rRNA from 1 species